UUUUGGUGCCUUUUGGUGGCGAUUCUGCAGCUUAAAAUGGUGCCCAAGCGAAGAGCUGAGGGCCAUCUGGUGCAGCCAAGCUCUAGAAGGCUGUGACGGCCUUAUGGAGACAAUGGAUGUGUCAGCACCUGGUCUUCGAUGCAGCAUCAAAGGGAUCGUUAGCUGCAGUAUGUGGACGCUUAGUUGAGGCAUGUGGCAUCUAGUUCCCCAACCAGGGAUCAGAUCCAGGUCCCCUGCAUUGUGAGCCUGGAGUCCCAGCCACUGGACCACCAGGGAAUCCCAAGGUUGAUGAGCGUGUUGUGACCGGAGGCUCGCAGAAACCCCACCUUGCAUUUCCUCUGGGAGCAGCGACUGGAAUUCACUAACUGGCAAACUUCCUGAAGGGUAUAUAUGAUGCUGAAGCUCCAGUACUUUGACCACCUGAUGCAAGGAACUGACUCAUUGGAAAAGACUCUGAUGCUGGGAAAGAUUGAAGGUAGGAGGAGAUGAGAUGGUUGGAUGGCAUCACAGAGUCGAUGGACAUGAGUUUAAGCAAACUCUGGGAGAUAGUAGAUGGACAGAAGAGCCUAGCAUGCUGCCCUCCAUGGGGUCGCAAAGGGUUGGACAUGACUUGGCGACUGAACAACAAGUGUAUAUAUGUCAAUGCUAUUGUCCCGAUUGAGCCAACCCUCCCGCUUCUUUCCCUGUGACAAGUCCAUUCUCUACGUCUGCAUCUCCAUUCCUGCCCUGCAAGCAGUCUGCUUUUUAAAGUGCAUCUGAGACCCUGGGGCACCCCCAGCUCUUCUGGUGGGGAGGCAUGAAAUAGACCCAAGGAGAGGGCCCAGGCUGGGCCCUGCUGACUGUCCACCACGGGGCCACUUGACCUAAGAGGUUCCAGCCAGGCACACGCCGCUACGACUCUGAGACGAGGGCUUCUCCCUAAAAAUCUGUGCUACAUGUUCAACCGAAAGCAGCAGUGUGACAGCUGUCCUUGGAGUGCGGCCCACAGACUGGGGCCCAGGAAGAGUUAGCUGGCAGCAUCCCCAUCUGUUUCCCAAGGAGGAGGAACCGCCUGCUGUCCCGACUGCUGUUUCGUAAGUCAGGGGCUUUAGGGAGGAUGUGACUUUUGCCAUGGGAAGAGGUGUGGGUUUGGGAGCAAGGAGGGCAGGGGUGUGCGUGCCUCCCCUCACUCCCCCAUCAUCCACCGUCCUCGCUGGUCUUUACAAGGCAAUGCCUGAGCCACGGGUGCUUCCCUGUUGGCUGAAGAAUCUGCCUUCAGUGCAGAAAG